rnacentral:rRNA from 1 species
GACGAACGCUGACGGCGUGCUUAACACAUGCAAGUCGAAGGGAGUGGCGAACGGGUGAGUAACACGUGAGUAACCUGCCCUUUUCUUUGGGAUAAGCCUGGGAAACUGGGUCUAAUACUGGAUGGAUUGGGAUGGGCUCGCGGCUUAUCAGCUUGUUGGUGGGGGGAUGGCUUACCAAGGCUUUGACGGGUAGCCGGCCUGAUAGGGUGAACGGUCACGCUGGGACUGGGAUACGGCCCAGAGUCGUACGGAAGGCGGCAGUGGGGGAUAUUGCACAAUGGACGAAAGUCUGAUGCAGCGAGGUCGUGUGGGGGAUGAAGGCCUUCGGGUUGUAAACUCCUUUCGGCCGCGGGAUGGUAGUGGGUAAAGAAGCGCCGGCUAACUACGUGCCAGCAGCCGCGGUAAUUC